GUCCACGCCGUAAACGAUGAGUGCUAGGUGUCACGGGCUUUGACCCUCGUGGUGCCGAAGCUAACGCGAUAAGCACUCCGCCUGGGGAGUACGGCCGCAAGGCUAAAACUCAAAGGAAUUGACGGGGGCCCGCACAAGCGGUGGAGCAUGUGGUUUAAUUCGACGCGACGCGCAGAACCUUACCUGGGCUAGAAAACACAGGAACCCGGGUGAAAACUCGGGGUGCUCUUCGGAGAAUCUGUGGUUAGGUGUUGCAUGGCUGUCGU
rnacentral:rRNA from 1 species